AACUUUCAACAACGGAUCUCUUGGUUCUGGCAUCGAUGAAGAACGCAGCGAAAUGCGAUAAGUAAUGUGAAUUGCAGAAUUUAGUGAAUCAUCGAAUCUUUGAACGCACAUUGCGCCCCUCGGUAUUCCGGGGGGCAUGCCUGUUCGAGCGUCAUUACAC
rnacentral:rRNA from 1 species